CAGCAGCCGCGGUAAUACGUAGGUGGCAAGCGUUGUCCGGAUUUAUUGGGCGUAAAGCGAGCGCAGGCGGUUUCUUAAGUCUGAUGUGAAAGCCCCCGGCUCAACCGGGGAGGGUCAUUGGAAACUGGGAGACUUGAGUGCAGAAGAGGAGAGUGGAAUUCCAUGUGUAGCGGUGAAAUGCGUAGAUAUAUGGAGGAACACCAGUGGCGAAGGCGGCUCUCUGGUCUGUAACUGACGCUGAGGCCCGAAAGCGUGGGGAGCAAACAGGAUUAGAUACCCUGGUAGUCCACGCCGUAAACGAUGAGUGCUAAGUGUUGGAGGGUUUCCGCCCUUCAGUGCUGCAGCUAACGCAUUAAGCACUCCGCCUGGGGAGU
rnacentral:rRNA from 1 species